UAUGUGAAAUACCUGGUUAAUCUACAUGGAUUGUUAUACCACUUCAUAGUAUAAUAUAGUUUUAUUUCGUUUGGUUGUGGCUCGGGGUUUCUGCUUAUAUGGGGUAAUCAGGUUGGAUCCAGAUCCUCUCCGGAGCUUUGGUUUUGCCUAACCUUCCUAAGCUUUGAAAGAGAUGAAGACACAUGGCUGAGAAUAAAUCCAAUGGUUUACAUCACUUUAAGCUAUGAAUUACACUAAUACCCAUUCACAUUUUUGUCCUUCUCUCCUUCCCUUAAUAAAUUUUCUCUCUCUUUCCUUCGUUGUUCUUGGUAGCUGCAGAUCUGUUCAAGAGACUUGAACAAUUCAACAACCUUCUCAUCCAAAUCCAGUCAUCCUAGACGCAAAAGAUUUGAAGAAAUCCAAGCCGAGUUCUCCACCUUCUUGCAGCGGCAGCUAAAUGGAAAUUUGAUAUAGGUGGUUCAUCAAACCUUAAAUCGUUUGAUCUCCACCAAAUCUACAUCUUUAUCGUCAAAUUCUCCACAAAUUUGAUCGCCGGUGGUUCAUCAACUAGAUCAAGUGGGAAAUUUGAUAUGGGUGCUCUUGAUUUUCACAAAUUUAUGCACCUGGUGCCAUUAUUAUGUUUUGAUUGGAUUUAUGGACAUUUUAUUGGGUUUUUAAAAAGGUAGGAAGGAAGAACACAGUGAAAUCAGUUAACAUUAUUCAUGGAAAUUUGAUUAAUAGUAGAAUAGAAAGAAGGAAAAAGAAGAGAGAACACUUCAUCAUCAUCAGAAGGAAAAAAAGAGAGGGAGGGACUCGCUCGAGUAAAAGGAAGGAAAGAAGAAAAGAAUUGAGGGAAAAAAGAAAUAAGAAGAGUGGACCAUUGGAUCUCUUAUAGCCACGUGCCUUCAUCUGCUUCAAAGCUUAGGAAGCUUAGGUAAAAACAAAGCUCAGGAGAGGAUCCGGAUGCAAUCAGGUUAGUUCACAACUCCGAAUCUUUUCUUUUGAACGAAAAUAUCAAUUUGAUUCUUCCCUAUUAAGCUUUCUCCCUUCUUUGUAUCAUUUUGGGUCCUCAUUUCUUUUUUUUUGAGAGAGAAUAGUUCUAAUGUAUGUUCCCAGUUCAUCUUUCUGCUUUUGUUUUCUUUUCAAACUGUUGUUUGGCCUUUUCAUAAAGUCGGGAUUCCUUGAAUUUCUGCUUUACUUCUUCCUGUUCUUGAAAUGGUGAUGAUCGGAAUUAAGGGUUCUGUAGCGGUUUGAUUGUGUUGAAUAUUCAGCUUGUCCAUGAGAAGGCUUUAUUCCACUCAUGGCUAUACACUGUCUCCUAAAUUGUUGCAGGAAUAUGGACACGAUGCCUCUAUUAUUAUUUUUUCACAAGUAGUGAACCAGCUCGUGAUUGAUCCGCUUUGCAGAUUUUUUUACUUCUCUCAUCUACUCUCAUCUCUUGCCCAUCUUUUAAAUGAUGUACUGACAAUGAAAGGCUGGACUAGGUCAUUACGUACCAAAUAGAGAGGUAAAAAGAGACAACCAGCCAGCCAUAAGGCAAGUAAUACUAAAAUUGGGAUGUCAAUAAUAAAGAGAGGUAAAAAGAGACAACCAGCCAGCCAUAAGGCAAGUAAUACUAAAAUUGGGAUGUCAAUAAUAAGUAUUAGCACAAGGCACAAGUAAGGACUUGAUGUGUACGAGUGACUUGUGAACUGGCACAGUCUACAUAUUUUGAGUAUAAAUAGAGCUUCAAAGCGCAGAGAAG
rnacentral:lncRNA from 1 species